UACAUGUGGGGCAAGCGUUGUUCGGAAUUACUGGGCAUAAAGGGUGCGCAGGCGGCUUCUCAAGUCAGGGGUGAAAGCCCAGAGCUUAACUCUGGAAUUGCCUUUGAGACUGAGAGGCUUGAGUACGGGAGAGGUGAGUGGAAUUCCCAGUGUAGAGGUGAAAUUCGUAGAUAUUGGGAAGAACACCGGUGGCGAAGGCGGCUCACUGGCCCGUAACUGACGCUCAUGCACGACAGCGUGGGGAUCAAACAGG
rnacentral:rRNA from 1 species